AGGUCAUUUCUAAAAGGACUUGCAGGACUGUGAAACCAGGAGCCCUUAACUCUGUGGCUGAAGACCGAAGUUCUCUGUAGGAUGCUGUAGUCACUCAAUAGUGCUGUGUGCUCCUAAGGAGACAUAGCC